GGGGGGGAUCGCAAGACCUCUCGCAGUUGGAGCGGCCGAUGGCGGAUUAGCUAGUUGGUAGGGUAAAGGCCUACCAAGGCGACGAUCCGUAGCUGGUCUGAGAGGACGACCAGCCACACUGGAACUGAGACACGGUCCAGACUCCUACGGGAGGCAGCAGUGGGGAAUUUUGGACAAUGGGGGCAACCCUGAUCCAGCCAUUCCGCGUGAGUGAAGAAGGCCUUCGGGUUGUAAAGCUCUUUCGGCAGGAACGAAACGGUGGUCCCUAAUACGGAUUGCUAAUGACGGUACCUGAAGAAGAAGCACCGGCUAACUACGUGCCAGCAGCCGCGGUAAUACGUAGGGGUGCGAGCGUUAAUCGGAAUUACUGGGCGUAAAGCGUGCGCAGGCGGUUAUGUAAGACAGAUGUGAAAUCCC
rnacentral:rRNA from 1 species